rnacentral:rRNA from 1 species
GCCGGACCCUACUGCUAUCGGGGUGGGACUAAGACAUGCGAGUUGUGCGUCUCUAAGCUAUGGUAGAGACGCGGCGUACGGCUCAGUAACACGUGGCUAACCCACCCUUAGGACGGGGACAACCCCGGGAAACUGGGGCUAAUACCCGAUAGGUGAGGAGGCCUGGAAUGGUUCCUAGUCGAAAAGGCGUCGAAACCAUGCUUUUCGACGUCGCCUAAGGAUGGGGCCGCGCCCGAUCAGGUUGUUGGUGGGGUAACGGCUCACCAAGCCUAUAACCGGUACGGGCCGUGAGAGCGGGAGCCCGGAGAUGGGCACUGAGACAAGGGCCCAGGCCCUACGGGGCGCAGCAGUCGCGAAAACUCCGCAAUGCGCGAAAGCGUGACGGGGCUACCCCGAGUGCCGUCCGCUGAGGAUGGCUUUUCCCCGGUGUAAUGAGCCGGGGGAAUAAGGAGAGGGCAAGUCUGGUGUCAGCCGCCGCGGUAAUACCAGCUCUCCGAGUGGUAGGGAUGAUUAUUGGGCUUAAAGCGUCCGUAGCCGGCUUAGCAAGUCUCCUGUUAAAUUCAGCGACCUAAUCGUUGAGCCGCGGGAGAUACUACUAGGCUAGGAGGCGGGAGAGGCCGACGGUAUUCUCGGGGUAGGGGUGAAAUCCUAUAAUCCCGGGAGGACCACCAGUGGCGAAGGCUGUCGGCUAGAACGCGCUCGACGGUGAGGGACGAAAGCUGGGGGAGCGAACCGGAUUAGAUACCCGGGUAGUCCCAGCUGUAAACGAUGCGGGCUAGGUGUUGGGGUGGCUACGAGCCACUUCAGUGCCGCAGGGAAGCCAUUAAGCCCGCCGCCUGGGGAGUACGGCCGCAAGGCUGAAACUUAAAGGAAUUGGCGGGGGAGCACCACAAGGCGUGAAGCUUGCGGUUCAAUUG